CGCUCAUCAAGAGGGGUGGAGGGACCGGCCCUGUGAAGCCCCGGCAACCCUCCCGGUGACUGUGCUCGUAUCCGCGAGGCCGGCCGGGACAGGUGCCAAUUCCGGCUCCCGGCCAAGGUGGUCGGGAGUGAAGAUGAGGG
rnacentral:ncRNA from 2 species